ensembl:lncRNA
UUUUAUCAUCUUUUAAAACCCAAGACAGUUGUGUUCUGUUUAAAUCCACAAGUGGUGUGUGAUGCGUCUGUAUACAACCAACAGUCCUUGUAGUUUUGUAUAUAUUUUUCUUCUUUUUUUCUAGUUACCAGACAUUUUUGGUAAAUAUUAUUUUAAACAUUUGUGUCUUUACAUGUUUUAAUUCUUUUUUUUUUCUUUACUACUUUUAUUUUACUCUUGAGUCACAAGAAAGUGGUCACACCAUUUUGUGGAUAGCAACACAUACAUGAAUGCAAAUCUUACAAGCAAGCUUUACAUCAGAGGUGGGGCAGAGGAGAAGGAGUGGGUCUGAGGAGGGGUGGGGGGGUUGAAAUGGGGAGGGGGGGGCUACAGGACCACUCCAAUGUGUGCUAUUGACUGUAUGCCGUACAUCCUGGACAGGAGAGACCAAACAAACAGAAAACAAAUCAUUAUUGCCUCCAAGGGGUGUGUGGCUUAGGUCUGGGGAUGAAUUAUGACAUCACUGUCUGGCUUUGGUAGUGAGACACUCAACAAUGUUAACACUUUUUCUUUUAAGCUUUUAUGACAGAAAGAGACCCGGGAAUAGUACAAAAACGUGUAUGUGUGUGUGUGUGUGUGUGUGUUUAAGGUUCGGUGAGGGGCGAUUCUGUGUGAGCUCGACCCCUCUGUGUUUUCCACCUGCAGAAUCAAGCACCAGACUCCGAUACUGUACCACACGGUGACAUACAUUCAGGAAGUGGGGGGGGGGGGGGGGGGGGGGGGUGGUGGGGUAAACCAAUCAUGGCAGCGCAUAGAAACGCUAUGGAGAAGAAAAAAAACAUGAACCUAGGUGAAGGCAGAGGAGGGUGUCAACAAGUCUGUCCAAUCAAAAGCACCCAAGAGAGGGUCGCAGAGGAAGAGGCUACUGUGUUAGGUCAUGUGGGGUGUGUGUGUGUGUGAGUGUGAGAGAGCUGAAGAGAACUCUUUUAUAUGUGUGUGUGUGUGUGUGUGUGUGUGUGUGUCAGAGAGAGGGAGAGGGCUGUUGGGACAUGAGGUUCAAAGGGGAGCGUGGUAAAAGUGAGUGAGGAAGCAAAGGCACUCCAAACUAUAGAUACACUAUACAGGACUGGUUAAGGGUACAAUAUAGCUGGCACCUACUGUACAUAUAAGAUUGAACUCUAUGGCUGGAGAAAGCUUCUCAUCUACAGUAUCCAACAAUCAGUUCAUAUUUGCCCUGAAUAUUUUCUUAAUCUUUCUCACUUAUGUUUUGUGUUUUUUUAUAUAUAAUAUUUUUUGUUUGCUUUUAUUCUUUUUAAAUCCCUCACCCUUUUGUUUUUGCUCUUUAAACAGUUCUUAGGUCAGCCUAUUUACAUUUACGGUGAACAUACCCCACAAACAAGUAAAAGAAACAAAUUCAACAAAAAAAUUACAUAAAAACAAAAAUAAAACCA